rnacentral:tRNA from 1 species
GCCGCUGUAGCUCAGCCUGGUUAGAGCGCUAGACUCAUAAUCUAGAGGUCUCGAGUUCAAAUCUCGUCAGCGGCA